rnacentral:rRNA from 1 species
UACGGAGGGUGCGAGCGUUGUCCGGAAUCACUGGGCGUAAAGGGCGCGUAGGCGGCGCGGGGAGUCAACGGUGAAAGCUCGGCGCUCAACGCCGAGUCGGCCGUCGAUACUCCCGUGCUUGAGCACUGUAGGGGCAGGUGGAAUUCCGGGUGUAGCGGUGGAAUGCGUAGAGAUCCGGAAGAACACCGGUGGCGAAGGCGGCCUGCUGGGCAGUAGCUGACGCUGAGGCGCGACAGCGUGGGGAGCAAACAGG